rnacentral:misc_RNA from 1 species
AAGAAAUCUUGCAAUUCGAGUUACAUCAUCAGCACUAAUACCACCUACUAUUUCAUGGCAAUCAUCAACUGACAAGUGCUUUACAGGAGACUCCAUGUACUUUGCAACAAUACAAUUUCUACAUUCCAUGUAUUUUUCGGGUGUAUGUUCAGCUGACUUCCCAGAGAAAAAAUGUGGCACCACUUGUCUUUCCAAUCUGUGCACGGUAUUAGGUGAAAACCAAUCUGCGUGCAUUGGCACAACAUGGAUUCGACCUGCAGUACCAUAAUGCUUAAUAACACCACGCCCCGGCAAUAUCUGCGGAGGAGUGAUGACAUAUGAACCACUCCCACUACCUUCCCCGCCUCUUUCCUCAGUCAACAAAGAGUGACUAUCUACAGGCACAGCUGAAAGCGCCUGAAGCUGCCCAUACGAUAUGUUCUCCAAAACCAACCCAUUCUGUCUGCUCUCCCCACUCAACCCAGCCUUCUCUGUUGCCACAAUAUUCAGCACAGAUGAAUGAGGCCGAGUCACAGCUCGUCUCACUACCAAAGGAAACUCACUAAUCCGGUCCCUACUUUCUGACACCAACUCAACAGAAGAGUAACUUCGAUCCACUGAAUUGUUAGGGUUUUGAUGUUCAUCUUCCAUCUCCUGCUGUUCAAUGUCUUCCUCAUCCUCCUCAUCUUCAAACCCGUCAUCAUCAUGUUGGUUCUUCGAUUUCCUCGAAAUUAAUGGCUCCCGCUUUCUCUUCCUCCAUCUAUUCCUCGUCUCUGAGGAGGAAGCUGGCAUUGCUGUGAGAAAUUGGGUUUUUGGUUGUGCUGAGGAAGAAGGGGUUUAAAGGAGAGAUUUGUGGGGUCUUUGAGAUUGGUUGUUUUAGAGAGAGAAACACAGAGAGGAAAAUGGGG